rnacentral:rRNA from 1 species
CUACGGGGGGCAGCAGUGGGGAAUCUUGCACAAUGGACGAAAGUCUGAUGCAGCGAUUCCGCGUGGAGGAUGACGCAUUACGGUGUGUAAACUCCUUUUUUGGUGGAAGACGAAUGACGGUACACCAAGAAUAAGGGACGGCUAACUACGUGCCAGCAGCCGCGGUAAUACGUAGGUCCCAAGCGUUAUCCGGAUUUACUGGGCGUAAAGCGUCUGUAGCCUGAUAAUUAAGUCUGUUUUCAAAUACUACGGCUCAACCGUAGACAGGGAAUAGAUACUGAUUAUCUAGAGGUCUUUAGGGGUUAGUGGAAUUUCAGGUGGAGCGGUGGAAUGUGUUGAUAUCUGAAAGAAUGCCGAAAGCGAAAGCAGCUAACUAUAGAGAACCUGACGGUGAGAGACGAAAGCUUGGGUAGCAAACGGGAUUAGAUACCCCGGUAGUC